rnacentral:rRNA from 1 species
GACCUGGCCGGGUGGUCCGCUUAACGGCGUGUACUGUCUGGCUGGGCCUUACCUCUUGGUGAGCCGGCGUAUUCUUUUUUAGUGUGCGUCGGGGAACCAGGACUUUUACCUUGAGAAAAUUAGAGUGUUCAAAGCAGGCCUAUGCCCGAAUACAUUAGCAUGGAAUAAUAAAAUAGGACGUGCGGUUCUAUUUUGUUGGUUUCUAGAGUCGCCGUA